rnacentral:rRNA from 1 species
GAUGAACGCUGGCGGCGUGCCUAAUACAUGCAAGUCGAGCGAACGGACGAGAAGCUUGCUUCUCUGAUGUUAGCGGCGGACGGGUGAGUAACACGUGGAUAACCUACCUAUAAGACUGGGAUAACUUCGGGAAACCGGAGCUACUACCGGAUAAUAUUUUGAACCGCAUGGUUCAAAAGUGAAAGACGGUCUUUCUGUCACUUAUAGAUGGAUCCGCGCUGCAUUAGCUAGUUGGUAAGAUAACGGCUUACCAAGGCAACGAUGCAUAGCCGACCUGAGAGGGUGAUCGGCCACACUGGAACUGAGACACGGUCCAGACUCCUACGGGAGGCAGCAGUAGGGAAUCUUCCGCAAUGGGCGAAAGCCUGACGGAGCAACGCCGCGUGAGUGAUGAAGGUCUUCGGAUCGUAAAACUCUGUUAUUAGGGAAGAACAUAUGUGUAAGUAACUGUGCACAUCUUGACGGUACCUAAUCAGAAAGCCACGGCUAACUACGUG